GACGAACGCUGGCGGCGUGCUUAACACAUGCAAGUCGAACGGUGAAAGCGGAGCUUGCUCCGCUGGAUCAGUGGCGAACGGGUGAGUAACACGCGGGCAACCUGCCCUUCACUUCGGGAUAACUCCGGGAAACCGGGUCUAAUACCGGAUAUGACCGCUGCGGGCAUCCGCGGAGGUGGAAUGUUUUUCGGUGAAGGAUGGGCCCGCGGCCUAUCAGCUUGUUGGUGAGGUAGUGGCUCACCAAGGCGACGACGGGUAGCCGGCCUGAGUGGGCGCCCUGACACACUGGGACUGAGACACCGCCCGGUGUCCUGGGGGAGGCAGCAGUGGGGAAUAUUGCGCAAUGGGCGAAAGCCGGACGCAUCAACGCCGCGUGCGUGAUGACGGCCUUCGGGUUGUAAACCGCUUUCAGCCGGGAAGAAGCCGCAAGGUGACGGUACGUGCAGAAGAAGCACCGGCUAACUACGUGCCAGCAGCCGCCGUAA
rnacentral:rRNA from 1 species